AUUGAACGCUGGCGGCAGGCCUAACACAUGCAAGUCGAGCGGUAGCACAGAGAGCUUGCUCUCGGGUGACGAGCGGCGGACGGGUGAGUAAUGUCUGGGAAACUGCCUGAUGGAGGGGGAUAACUACUGGAAACGGUAGCUAAUACCGCAUAACGUCGCAAGACCAAAGUGGGGGACCUUCGGGCCUCAUGCCGUCAGAUGUGCCCAGAUGGGAUUAGCUGGUAGGUGGGGUAACGGCUCACCUAGGCGACGAUCCCUAGCUGGUCUGAGAGGAUGACCAGCCACACUGGAACUGAGACACGGUCCAGACUCCUACGGGAGGCAGCAGUGGGGAAUAUUGCACAAUGGGCGCAAGCCUGAUGCAGCCAUGCCGCGUGUGUGAAGAAGGCCUUCGGGUUGUAAAGCACUUUCAGCGGGGAGGAAGGCAUUAAGGUUAAUAACCUUAGUGAUUGACGUUACCCGCAGAAGAAGCACCGGCUAACUCCGUGCCAGCAGCCGCAGUAAUAC
rnacentral:rRNA from 1 species